UCGGGAACUGUGAGACAGGUGCUGCAUGGCUGUCGUCAGCUCGUGUUGUGAAAUGUUGGGUUAAGUCCCGCAACGAGCGCAACCCUUAUCCUUUGUUGCCAGCGAUUAGGUCGGGAACUCAAAGGAGACUGCCAGUGAUAAACUGGAGGAAGGUGGGGAUGACGUCAAGUCAUCAUGGCCCUUACGACCAGGGCUACACACGUGCUACAAUGGCGCAUACAAAGAGAAGCGACCUCGCGAGAGCAAGCGGACCUCAUAAAGUGCGUCGUAGUCCGGAUUGGAGUCUGCAACUCGACUCCAUGAAGUCGGAAUCGCUAGUAAUCGUGGAUCAGAAUGCCACGGUGAAUACGUUCCCGGGCCUUGUACACACCGCCCGUCACACCAUGGGAGUGGGUUGCAAAAGAAGUAGGUAGCUUAACCUUCGGGAGGGCGCUUACCACUUUGUGAUUCAUGACUGGGGUGAAGUCGUAACAAGGUAACCGUAGGGGAACCU
rnacentral:rRNA from 4 species